CAGUAGCCGCGGUAAUACAGAGGGUGCGAGCGUUAAUCGGAUUUACUGGGCGUAAAGCGUGCGUAGGCGGCUUCUUAAGUCGGAUGUGAAAUCCCUGAGCUUAACUUAGGAAUUGCAUUCGAUACUGGGAAGCUAGAGUAUGGGAGAGGAUGGUAGAAUUCCAGGUGUAGCGGUGAAAUGCGUAGAGAUCUGGAGGAAUACCGAUGGCGAAGGCAGCCAUCUGGCCUAAUACUGACGCUGAGGUACGAAAGCAUGGGGAGCAAACAGGAUUAGAUACCCGUGUAGUCCUGUCUCUUAUACA
rnacentral:rRNA from 1 species